CUCUAGGGUCAUACCACCCUCAACGCGCCCGAGGCAUGACCCAGGCAGGGUCGGCCUGGUUAGUACGUGGAUAGGAUUUCGCCUGGGAAGACCAGGUGAUGUAGGCU
ensembl:rRNA 5S_rRNA 5S ribosomal RNA